GNUCUAGUGGCCUAGGACACCGCCCUUUCACGGCGGUAACAGGGGUUCGAGUCCCCUAGGGGACGCCA
rnacentral:tRNA from 1 species